UAUUAUUUAAAAUGUAAUUAUUAAUGCUAAGGUAGUAAUAGAUAUGUUCUUGAAACUUAAAAAAUUUGGCGGUAUUUUAGUCUAUCCAGAGGAACCUGUAUUGUAAUCGAUAAUCCACGAUGGACCUUACUUAAAUUUGUAAUCAGUUUAUAUACCGUCGUUAACAGAAUAUUUUAUAAGAAAAAUAAUAUUCAAUAAUUUUUAAAAAAAUUUAUAUCAGAUCAAGGUGUAGCUUAUAUUUAAGUUUUUAUGGGUUACAAUAAAAUUAUUUAUACGGAUUAAAUUAUGAAAAAAUUUAUGAAGGUGGAUUUGGUAGUAAAAUUAUAAAGAUUAAUAAUUUGAUUUUAGCUCUAAAAUAUGUACAUAUCGCCCGUCACUCUUAUUAUUAAGGUAAGAUAAGUCGUAACAUAGUAGAUGUACUGGAAAGUGUAUCUAGAAUGA
rnacentral:rRNA from 1 species